rnacentral:rRNA from 1 species
CGGCUAACUUCGUGCCAGCAGCCGCGGUAAGACGAAGGAUGCAAGCGUUAUCCGGAUUCAUUGGGUUUAAAGGGUGCGUAGGCGGACUUGUAAGUCAGUGGUGAAAUCUCUCAGCUUAACUGAGAAACUGCCAUUGAUACUGCAGGUCUAGAGUACAGAUGAUGUGGGCGGAAUAUGACAUGUAGUGGUGAAAUACUUAGAUAUGUCAUAGAACACCGAUUGCGAAGGCAGCUCACAAAACUGUAACUGACGCUGAGGCACGAAAGUGCGGGGAUCAAACAGGAUUAGAUACCCUGGUAGUCCGCACCGUAAACGAUGAUUACUCGUUGUUGGCGAUAUGACAGUCAGCGACCAAGCGAAAGCGAUAAGUAAUCCACCUGGGGAGUACGCCGGCAACGGUGAAACUCAAAGGAAUUGACGGGGGCCGCACAAGCGGAGGAGCAUGUGGUUUAAUUCGAUGAUACGCGAGGAACCUUACCUGGGCUUG